rnacentral:rRNA from 1 species
GACGAACCGUGCGAACGUUGUUCGGAAUCACUGGGCUUAAAGGGCGCGUAGGCGGUCGACCAAGUCUGGGGUGAAAUCUUUCGGCUCAACCGGAAAAGUGCCCCCGAUACUGGCCGGCUAGAGGGAGAUAGGGGCAUGCGGAACUUCCGGUGGAGCGGUGAAAUGCGUAGAUAUCGGAAGGAACGCCGGUGGCGAAAGCGGCGUGCUGGAUCUCUUCUGACGCUGAGGCGCGAAAGCCAGGGGAGCAAACGGG